CCCGGUGUCGACAGCGCGAGGGCCACACCCGUUCCCAUUCCGAACACGGACGUUAAGCCUCGCUGCGGCGAUGGUACUGCGGGGGCAACUCCGUGGGAGAGUAGCGCGAUGCCGGGU
rnacentral:rRNA from 1 species